GAUGAACGCUAGCGAUAGGCCUAACACAUGCAAGUCGAGGGGCAUCACAUGAAGUAGCAAUACGGAUGGUGGCGACCGGCGCACGGGUGAGUAACACGUAUGCAACCUGCCUUCAACAAGGGCAUAACCCGUUGAAAGACGGACUAAUACCCUAUAAUACAGGGGCCCCGCAUGGGGAUAUUUGUUAAAGAUUUAUCGGUUGAAGAUGGGCAUGCGUUCCAUUAGCUGGUUGGUGGGGUAACGGCCUACCAAGGCAACGAUGGAUAGGGGAACUGAGAGGUUUAUCCCCCACACUGGUACUGAGACACGGACCAGACUCCUACGGGAGGCAGCAGUGAGGAAUAUUGGUCAAUGGACGCAAGUCUGAACCAGCCACGUCGCGUGAAGGAAGACGGCCCUACGGGUUGUAAACUUCUUUUAUACGGGAAUAAAGUGCCCCACGUGUGGGGUUUUGCAAGUACCGUAUGAAUAAGGAUCGGCUAACUCCGUG
rnacentral:rRNA from 1 species